rnacentral:rRNA from 1 species
GAUGGCGACCGGCGCACGGGUGAGUAACACGUAUCCAACCUGCCGAUUAUUCCGGGAUAGCCUUUCGAAAGAAAGAUUAAUACUGGAUAGCAUAACGAGAAGGCAUCUUCUUGUUAUUAAAGAAUUUCGAUAAUCGAUGGGGAUGCGUUCCAUUAGUUUGUUGGCGGGGUAACGGCCCACCAAGACAUCGAUGGAUAGGGGUUCUGAGAGGAAGGUCCCCCACAUUGGAACUGAGACACGGUCCAAACUCCUACGGGAGGCAGCAGUGAGGAAUAUUGGUCAAUGGACGAGAGUCUGAACCAGCCAAGUAGCGUGAAGGAUGACUGCCCUAUGGGUUGUAAACUUCUUUUAUAUGGGAAUAAAGUGCAGUAUGUAUACUGUUUUGUAUGUACCAUACGAAUAAGGAUCGGCUAACUCCGUGCCAGCAGCCGCGGUAAUACGGAGGAUCCGAGCGUUAUCCGGAUUUAUUGGGUUUAAAGGGAGCGUAGGCGGAUUAUUAAGUCAGUUGUGAAAGUUUGCGGCUCAACCGUAAAAUUGCAGUUGAUACUGGUAGUCUUGAGUGCAGCAGAGGUAGGCGGAAUUCGUGGUGUAGCGGUGAAAUGCUUAGAUAUCACGAAGAACUCCGAUU